CGUGAAGCAGGCAAAUUCCUAAAUGAUGGAUGUAUAUUCCUUGAAGUUACUAAAAUGCUUCAGAAAGGCAACUAAUCAUCUCGAUGUGAUAGGUAUGAAGUGGCAUAUUUGUUGAUAUGCAUGGUUUACCUUCAGCAGGUUUCACAAGUCUGUGUAUAGAAAAAGAAACGUGAAUUAAACCCAAAGUUUC